AUCCCCUGUUCCCGGCUGAGUGAUGCUCCCGGGAAGCCCAGGUCACUAGAUGGUACUGUUGCUGUUCAAUAUCGACGCCUCCGCGGGCCAGCUCCUUGGGAAACUCGCGUUUCUGUCGGGAGCGAAGGACGGCGGUGGAAUUUGUGAGGGAGACGUGAGCGAGGAGCCGGGGAGGAGAAGUAGAAGGAUGAGGCAUAAAGAGGAGGAACUCACCCAGGUCCCACCCAGCACUGCAGAAGGAACCAGAAUUACCAGCCCUCGCUCUGCCUCGCCCAGGGUGUGCCCUGAUGAAAACAAACUGUUGGACAUUUUCCCCAAACACUCCUCUGCUGCUGCACAGGGGUUCUGGCCGUUCACCCUGAAACAAGCAGAGGUUUAGACAAAAACCACCCAAAAUCUCAAAAUCUAGCACCAAACAGAGGUCGCAGCUCUGGGAUUCUUCUCCAGCCCAGUCCCAGCAUCGCCCCACCCCUCGCAUUUCUCACCCCCUCCACACAUCAUUUAAAGUCAGUGGCUCCUUUUGUGAGCAGUCGGCUCCUCACCCGCACUUUCCCUGCACUUCGACAAAAGAGACCUUUUACAUGUCAAUUUAUUUUCAGACAAGCAUAUCUAAAAGGGAGUUUCCCUCCGGAGUGGAAUUAGUAUUAAUGGCAGGGGCCCCCCCCCCCCCCCCCCCCCCCCCCCCCCCCCCCCCCCCCCCCCCCCCCCCCCCCCCCCCCCCCCCCCCCCCCCCCCCCCC
ensembl:lncRNA